rnacentral:rRNA from 1 species
AGUGGCGGACGGGUGAGUAAUGCGCAGGAAUCUGCCCUAAAGUGGGGGACAACUCGGGGAAACUCGAGCUAAUACCGCAUAACCUCUUUGGAGCAAAGCUGGGGACCUUCGGGCCUGGCGCUUUAGGAUGAGCCUGCGUCGGAUUAGCUUGUUGGUGGGGUAACGGCCUACCAAGGCGACGAUCUGUAGCUGGUCUGAGAGGAUGACCAGCCACACUGGGACUGAGACACGGCCCAGACUCCUACGGGAGGCAGCAGUGGGGAAUCUUGGACAAUGGGGGAAACCCUGAUCCAGCGAUGCCGCGUGUGUGAAGAAGGCCUGCGGGUUGUAAAGCACUUUCAGUAGGGAAGAAAUGGCUAAUGUGAUAAGCAUUAGCAGCUGACAUUACCUACAGAAGAAGCACCGGCUAACUCUGUGCCAGCAGCCGCGGUAAUACAGAGGGUGCAAGCGUUAAUCGGAAUUACUGGGCGUAAAGGGUGCGUAGGCGGCCAAGUAAGUUGGAUGUGAAAUCCCUAAGCUUAACUUAGGAAUUGCAUUCAAAACUGCAUGGCUAGAGUAUGGUAGAGGGAAGUGGAAUUUCCGGUGUAGCGGUGAAAUGCGUAGAUAUCGGAAGGAACACCAGUGGCGAAGGCGACUUCCUGGACCAAUACUGACGCUGAGGCACGAAAGCAUGGGGAGCAAACAGGAUUAGAUACCCUGG